rnacentral:lncRNA from 1 species
UGAGAAAUGUUGGCAACCCAUGGAUUAUCUGCCGGAACCUGAAUCGGAAGGAUUUUAUGAGCAAGUCAAGGAGUUGAGAGAAAGAUGCAAGGAAAUCCCUGAUGACUAUUUUGUGGUAUUGGUUGGAGAUAUGAUCACAGAAGAAGCCCUUCCUACUUACCAGACAAUGCUGAACACCCUAGACGGGGUUCGAGAUGAGACUGGUGCAAGCCUCACUUCUUGGGCAAUUUGGACUAGGGCUUGGACUGCUGAAGAAAACAGGCAUGGCGACCUUCUCAAUAAGUAUCUCUACCUAUCUGGACGUGUAGACAUGAAGCAAAUUGAGAAGACAAUUCAAUACCUGAUAGGAUCAGGAAUGGUGAGAUUCUCCUUUCCUAUUACUAAAUUCUAUAUAAGAGGACAAGCUUCUUCUGUUGUCUAUGCUGUGCACUUGAUUUUUCAGUAUUUAUGAGUUUGUUGUUUUCUUAGGAUCCUAAAACAGAAAACAACCCCUACCUUGGUUUCAUCUACACUUCAUUCCAAGAGAGGGCAACAUUUAUCUCCCAUGGGAACACAGCCAGACAUGCCAAGGAUUAUGGAGACUUGAAACUUGCACAGAUAUGUGGCAUCAUUGCCUCUGAUGAGAAACGCCAUGAAACUGCCUACACCAAGAUUGUGGAGAAGCUCUUUGAAAUUGAUCCAGAUGGCACUGUCAUGGCUUUAGCUGAUAUGAU